GGGGGGAGCGCCGGAUCUUCGGCUGUGUCCCCCCCGCCCAGUGCUCCGGGGCCUGUGCUGUUGGAUUCGUGCUCCCAGGGCCCUGCAGCCCCCU
rnacentral:pre_miRNA from 1 species